rnacentral:rRNA from 1 species
AGGACGAACGCUGGCGGCGUGCUUAACACAUGCAAGUCACGGGGGCCCGUAGCAAUACGGGCAACCGGCGAACGGGUGCGUAACACGUGAGCAAUCUGCCGAUCUCUGGGGGAUAGCCAGCCUAACGGCUGGGUAAUACCGCAUACGCUCGUUGGGGGGAGUCCCCUGAUGAGGAAACCUCUGGGGGAGAUCGAGGAGCUCGCGACCUAUCAGCUAGUUGGCGGGGUAACGGCCCACCAAGGCAGCGACGGGUAGCUGGUCUGAGAGGAUGGCCAGCCACAUUGGGACUGCGACACGGCCCAGACUCCUACGGGAGGCAGCAGUGGGGAAUAUUGCGCAAUGGACGAAAGUCUGACGCAGCGACGCCGCGUGUGGGAUGAAGCCUUUCGGGGUGUAAACCACUGUUGCCCGGGACGAAACUCCUCUUUCGAGAGGAUUGACGGUACCGGGUGAGGAAGCACCGGCUAACUCUGUGCCAGCAGCCGC